rnacentral:rRNA from 1 species
UGUGCGCGAGUCAUUGGGUGUAAAACCUAAAGGCGCAAUGAAAGUGUCAGGGGUGCCUCCUUUAGGAGCGCUCCCCUUUGGGAGGAUGGGCCGCCGCGCCAGCAAUGGCCGGAGCCCCGCACUCCCGGGGCGUCUCUUUCUCAUUGCGAGUGGAGACGCACCAGGAGCGCACACGCUGGUACCCGAAAGAUGGUGAACUAUGCCUGGCCAGGACGAAGCCAGGGGAAACCCUGGUGGAGGUCCGAAGCGAUUCUGACGUGCAAAUCGAUCGUCUGAGCUGGGUAUAGGGGCGAAAGACCAAUCGAACCAUCUAGUAGCUGGUUCCCUCUGAAGUUUCCCUCAGGAUAGCUGGCUCUCGGGAAGAGACGAGUCUCAUCCGGUAGAGCGAAUGAUUAGAGGUGAUGGGGUCGAAACGACUUCAACCUAUUCUCAAACUCCCAAUAGAUGAGAGCCCCGGCUUGCUUAAAAGUGAAGCCGCGGGACUCGGAUCAGAGAUGCCAAGUGGGCCAAUUUU